AUGGAAGAACAAUUAAGGCAGGAAUCUGGUGCCCGGGCUGUGGCAGGUCACUGGGCUACCGACAAGAGUGGGGCACAACAAAGGGGCACGGGAGGAAGGACAGCGGAGGUGAGGAGAUGGAAAGGGGAUGCGGGGCGCCACGGGUCGGACAAAGCGCCCAAGGCGGCGAAACAAAGGGCCGGAGGUAGAGAGUCGCGGGGGGCAGCGGGGAAAGACAAAGCGCCCGAGGCCGGGGGCACUAGCGAGGCGAGGCGGCGACAACGGCCGCGAGGAACAAAGCUGCACGGGGCCCCCAGGCGGGGCCCGCUGGAGGCGCGCGGGAGGCACGGCGCCCGAGGGCCCCGCGCGCCCGGCCCCACUCACUCCCGCACCCGCCGGCCUCGCCGCCGCCUCCCGCCCUCACGCGCCGGAGCCCCAGCCACGGCAGCGCAGAGAGGCAGCGCACGGUCACACGCCACAGCCGCCGCCGCGCUCGGCGCACGCGACGCCGCCCCCGCGGGCCCCCGGACGCCAAGCGCGCUGCGGCCCCGGAAUCCGCCGCCCGCCGCGGGCUGCCAGACGCCCGCAACUUUCCCGGUUCCCAGCGCUCCGAUUCCCUCAGACUUACCCUGUCACAACAGGCGCCAUCUUCCACAAACUCUCGCCAAAACUCCAACCCUCGCGAGAUUCCCCCCGACGCCUUCCCUGGUCCCUCUCCCCCGCCCCUUCCCUUUUUCCUCACUCCUCGAUUCCACCCAGCCCCCGCGCUCCCUUUCCCCUCGCCGCUGCCGCGAAGAGCCAGACGCCUCGCGCCGCCCGCAGAGUAGGGGAUCCUGCUCGCUGCCUCCCCUGGAAACCUACCCAAGCGAUGGAGCAUGCGCAGGCAGCUCCUCCGCGGGCGAGCCCUCCGUGUGGUCCAUGGGGAGCGCUCCGGUUAUCCAGGUUUUGGGACGCGCCUUGAGGGACAGAUUCCCAGUCCAGCACUGCCUCCUGCAGGGAGCCCCAAAACCCGGAGAACUGGAAUUCGCCGCCGGAAACCUGCUGAAGGCGCUGCAGGAUUGGCGCGGCCCGCGCGAGCGGCACUGCGCAUGCAUCCAAUGCGGGCAGUCGAGUAUCACGCUACACCUCCUUCCCACCGCCUUCCACUACUCGGCUCAGACACAACACGGCCGUGGGAAAUUUCCUAAACCUCGCGAGAACGUGCCCCCUGUUGCCUAGGCUUUCGCCCCAAAUCUCGCGGAGCCAAGGCAGGACAGGUGUUUGUUUAGAGCAGCUCCGGGCGCCGUUCGUGCCGCGCGUGCCCGGGAGGCGGGCGGCGGGCGACGGGCGCGGGCGGGAUGGGAAGGGAGCGGCUCGCCGCGGAGGCGGGGCGGGAAGGCGCGUGGCGGGGAGCACGGGGCGGAGGGCGGCGGGGAAGGAGACGCGACGUCUCGCACACACGCACACGCCCUGUGACGCUGGGUGGAAGACGAGGGGUGGGGAGCCUCGAAGGGAAGAAGAGGAAGCCAGGAGGUUGGAAGUUGCUCCCGGUACGGAGAGUGAGACGUCAGGCUCUAGGGCAGGAGGAGCCCCAGGCCGAUCUCCCGGGGAGGUUUCCUGUCGCCCUCCAUAAGCCUGGUACUUUCCUAAAACGUGUUAGACGCCGCGCCCCCCGCCUCCGGGAGCUGAGAGACAGCCCCCAGAGUCGGGUUUGAGUCAUUCCUUGAGUCACCUAGUCUGGCCACCACUUCGCUUAUUUUGAAACAAGUUCUGAUUCCGUAGCUACUCUACUUUAGCAAUUAGUUGUUUGCUUUCUAAUCUACCCGCUGGCCCUGUGAGCUGGGUAGAAAAAUAAAUAAAUAAACAGCUCUGCGCUCUCGCA
rnacentral:lncRNA from 1 species